GAUGAACGCUGGCGGCGUGCUUUAACACAUGCAAGUCGAACGAAGCACUUUUGAAACAAUCCCUCGGGUGCGUUUCUUUGUGACUUAGUGGCGGACGGGUGAGUAACGCGUGGGUAACCUGCCUCAUGCGAGGGGGAUAACAGUUGGAAACGACUGCUAAUACCGCAUGAUGUAUCGGAGGGGGCACUCCCUUUGGUACCAAAGUAUUUUAUCGCUGAAAGAUGGCCUCGCGUCUGAUUAGGUAGUUGGUGGGGUAACGGCCUACCAAGCCGACGAUCAGUAGCCGGACUGAGAGGUUGAACGGCCACAUUGGAACUGAGAAACGGUCCAGACUCCUACGGGAGGCAGCAGUGGGGAAUAUUGGGCAAUGGGCGCAAGCCUGACCCAGCGACGCCGCGUGAGGGAAGACGGUCUUCGGAUUGUAAACCUCUUUCAGCAUGGAAGAAGCAUGACGGUACAUGCAGAAGAAGCCACGGCUAACUACGUG
rnacentral:rRNA from 1 species